UUUUAGGGUGUUAAAAUAACACCAAAAAGUGGUGUUAAAAAAUUAGGUAAAAAAUAACACUACUUUUUGGUGCUAUUUUAACACCACUAAAA